rnacentral:rRNA from 1 species
UACGGGGGGAGCAAGCGUUGUUCGGAUUUACUGGGCGUAAAGGGCGCGUAGGCGGCGCAACAAGUCACUUGUGAAAUCUCCGGGCUUAACCCGGAGCGGCCAAGUGAUACUGUCGUGCUAGAGUGCGGAAGGGGCUACUGGAAUUCUCGGUGUAGCGGUGAAAUGCGUAGAUAUCGAGAGGAACACCUGCGGCGAAGGCGGGUAGCUGGGCCGACACUGACGCUCAUGCACGAAAGCGUGGGGAGCAAACAGG